GUGUGUUAAAAUUUUCCUUGUCCCUGUGUUGAUACCAUAAUGGGGGUAUCAGCUAUGUGGCGGAGGAGGUUGGAUAACUAGUGAGGUAUUCUGCCAAAGAGUUGUACGAGAUAGACCAAAUUACUUAUUUUAUUCAAUAGGGAAAAAUUUAAAUGCAUAGAAGUACUUUCAAAACAUUUAUGCACUGUCACAAUAUUCAAUAGGGAAAAAUUUAAAUGCAGAGGUACUAAUAAUACCCAUUUUGCAGUACGAUAGUAUUAAGUCACAAUAUCCAAAACAGCCCAUACAGUACUUUUGACAAACACCAUAUAUGCACUGUUUUAAAUCACCAUUCUCAUAGCAGUUCAAUUAUAGCUCAAUUGCAAAAAGUAUAAGAAUUUGGUCUCUUACACAAACAAAAUACACAUAUACAUACAUGCGUAUGUAUAUAUGAAUCAUUACAGCAACUAAUGGAAUGCGGAUGAAUAAAGUUGUUAGAAAAAAUACCUUUGAAAAAAUUGACGGGUCUUUAGGUCUUCGAAUUUAGGGCUUCUGCAAUUGGGACAGAAGGAGCAAAUUUAAAGAUGCAAAGAUGGAGUUUGGGGUAUAAUUUUGGGAUUAAUGAUAAUCCCUUCACCCGUAGGAAACAUUAUCCGCACAAUCAAAUCUCAAUCUCGCUAAUAGCGGCUAAAUUUGGCAAUACUUUUUUAUUUCUCCCGCCUAAACUAUGGCUAAGGAAUAGAGGGGAAAACAAAUUGGUAGAAACCUAGCAUCUAUCUGGUUGAACCUUCAAUGUUGGCUAAGAAUUGAGCGAAACCAUGUCUAUUGCUUCCCUUUCGCGCACAACUCCAGACACGCUAAGAAUUGAGCGAAGCUCUCCCUAAUUGUUAUUUAACUGAAUGUUAA
rnacentral:lncRNA from 1 species